CUGACCCUGUCUUCCCAGCAGACGGGACAACCUUGCCUGCGGUUUAUGCCUCUGAGCUCCUUCAUGGAUCAAUCCAAUGUUGGUUUCACCUGACACUACAUCUUACUCCCUCCUCUUGUUUCUUUCACUCCCUUACAGAGCUUUCCUGAAUAACACUUCCUUACUGGAUCACAUGCACCUGAAUCCAGUCUUGGGCUCUGUUUCUAGGGCACUUGACCUGAGACAGUUGGUGCCAGCCAGUUUACCUAAAAGCAGACUCCCAGAUGCAAUUUGGGAGGAGGAGCGUUUUCGGUUCAGCUGGCAACGGGGACCCCCGUGUGCAACAUGUCCUGAUGAUCCCUGGGAUGUGGCGGCAGAGCAAUCGCUAAAGCUGUCAGCUGUGGAGAACUGGGACAGGAUAAAGGCAGGAGGGGAGCCACCAACUGCAGCCAUGUUUCUGGCAUUGAGAGAUAUGGGGGAACAGCAAUUAUAAGGACUGUGGAAAUAGGUGGGAGUUGUUGAAUGCCACUGAUGCUGUGACGAGGGAGGAUGGGCUCAGGGCAAUCACCAUUUUAAAGCCAAGUGUGAGAGUCAGAGGGCCUCCCUGGGGGGAUUUAAAGAGCCUCAUCUCCUUUAGGCAGAUGGCAGGAAGAGUUGACGACCAGGCACAGGAUCUCAUUGUUAAGACUUGCAGAACUUUGGAGAAGCCUGCAUUCUCAGCCUAGGUAAGUCACCUAUGCCCAAGUCAGGCCCUUCAUGGGGAAGAAGAGGGACCUUAAGACAUGGGUGAUGCACGUGGGAACCUUGAACUCUGAGGCUCUCCUGAGCGCUCGUGGACCAUAGACGUAAUCCACCCACUCUUACUGGAGUAGAGCCCCUCCACUCCACCCCCCUGCCGCAUUUGAGGACGACGUGGAAACCUCAAAUGACGCAGCUGUCUUGGGAGAAAACGUGUACCUUCCUGAGGAUCUGCUUAUCCUACCCCCCCUGACCACGUGCCUGAUAAUUAGAGUCAAGUUUCAGCAUGACCUGACUGGGAAAGUGCUAGAUCUCCGAGAGGGACUUGGCUAACCCGUACAGGUAGCAACUGAGAGAGAAUGGGUCUGCGUCCUGAGGUUGUUAGAAUAAGGAGGCAGAACAUGAAACUGGAUAGAGAGAGUUUGUUGAUUUGGGAUCACCAGUAAUAUGGGAUUUAAUAGCCUGGCAAGAGCUCUGGAGCCUUGGGAGAUGGGUCCAAUAUAUUGCUGGAGUAGCUCUUGGAAGCUUGGCAAAAGCUGUGGUCCCGAGGAGAGGGAGUGGAGGUUCCAGAACGGCCGUAGCAGACUGUGGAGGAAGGGAUACAAGGCUCAGAGUAGCAGGCAUUCUAGAAUGGGUCUAAGAUACAGGACCAGGAAACCCACCAGCCGAUUAUGUUCUUUGAAGGCCUGGAGGACACCUUAUUUAUUGGGACAAGAAGCAAUGAACUGGUGAGAAGGGCAACAGCAUCACUGAAAAGCUGAGUGUUGGGUGUUCUCUGUAGGCUGGAAGGAUCUAUCACUGGGAAACAGAGCUCUUUGGUAUCAAUGUGGAGGACAGGAUCCCAGACUAUCAAAGACUGGGUAGCACUUAACUCUCAAAAACAAGAUGGGCAUAAUUAUUAUAGGGGGCAGCAAGGUUAGAAAAGGAGACAAGGGGUCCUGACCCAUAGGAAUCUUCAAUGGAGAUGACUAAUAGAACAUGGUAUUCCCAGGAGCAACACAGACGAGAAGCCAACAAAAGUAUUGCUUAACAUACAUCAUUAAAAGCGGUCAGAUAUGAAUUAGCAAAAGGCUGAGGUCAGCUGCCCCAAUGGAAAGACGUGAUGUUCUGUCAAGUUCCUAGACCUGAGCCACUUCUUGGAUCCAGAACCCAGUGACUGAAUAAGAGACCAGAUCCCAAUGAAGAAAGAUUCUUGAACACCAUGGCAAGUGUAAAUCAGGUACCCAAAGUGCCAUCAUGGUCCCCUUGUUAGAGGAAGGACAUCUGAGGGUCAGGUAAUAUAUGGAGUCCUGGCCUAAGUCCUUCUUAAAAUGGGUUCACAGAUUUACUGAACCGUCCCUUGAUUAUUUCCUCCAAUUCCUGACUAUGUAAUUGGAAUGGAUCUGCUUAGCAGUGGACAUUGAUUCUUUGACCUGGAAGGAAAGGUAAGAGUUCUUCUAGUAGGAAAUGCCAAGUAAAAGCUUGUGAAACAUCCAUUCGCAACCACUUUCUCUCCACCAAGUCAAGAUAGUAAAUAAAAAACAGUACUACAAAUCUGAGAUGUUCUCCAAGCGCCACUCUCAGGAUACGAUGGUGGUUCCCAUCAUGUCCCCAUCCUACACUUAAUACAGACUUAACCAGCUUGUAGUCCCAUCUGUGGCUGUCGUGCCUGAGGGAGCAUCUUUACCAGAGCAGAUUUCCACCACUCUCACCCAGGAUACGGAGCUAUGGAAAUGCAAAAUGUGUUCUCCAGAAACACAGAGAAGGAGAAGCAGCAGGCUGUCUUCUCUCGGGUAAUGUAUAUUCAGUCUUGCCCCAAGACUGUUCAUUCUCCCACUCUCUGUAACAGGAUAGCCCAAAGGGGUUUGAACCAUCUAGAUAUGCCACAAAAUGCACACUGAUUUCCUAUAUUAAAGGAUACUGAAGUGGGUCCCUUGGUCCAAGCCGACAUCGUGUGGUCUCCCACGGUGUGAAUCAGAUACUCUAUGGCCUCUGUCAGAAGACCACAUCACCCGUCCUCAGCUCAAGGGACCCACUUCACAGCAAAAGAAGGAUCGCAGUGGUCAUGUGACUUUGCGAUCCACUGCUCUACACAAACUGUGCCAUCCAGAAGAUGUUAACCUCAGAUGGCAGUGGGAUGGGACCCCGAAAAAAUGCAUCAGCUUCACUAGCUUGGGAACGACACCCUGUGAGAUGGGACAGUAUUCUUCAGGAUGUCAUUUACUCCUUAAUGAUGGCAAUGGCCUUUAUGUGAUGCUGUGCUCCCAAUGGGUAGAAGACAUGGGCUUGGAAAUCUAGUAGGAGUGGCCAAGCUCACUGUCACAGGUGGUGACCAAGGGAAUUUGGGCUUCUUGUGCUUGCAACUUUAGGCUCUGUGGGUCUAGAUGUCUUGAUUCUUGGGCAGGAACAAAGAAUUCCACUAACCUUAAAGCUAUGGCUGCUGCAUGGCCACCAGGGCUUCUCAUGCCUGUAGACCAGGAGGCCUGGGAUGAAAUUGACGUAACCGGAAGGGCUGAUCCUAUUUAAUCAGGACAUGAGGAAUAUGCGUGGCACUGAGGUGGCCCACUAAGACACCUGUGGUGUUCCCCUACAUGUAGCCUGAGAAGACCAUGGAAACCAGGCACUCAGUCGUGGAAGGACGAAGGUCUAGGUCAUCCCAACCCGCAGAAGUGCUAGUUGAGCAUGAAGGGAAUCUAGAAUGGGUGGCAAGGAAGGAGGGAGACAGUGAGUAUCGGCUACCACCUUUGGGACCAAUUGUGGCAGCCAGAGGCUGCGUUUGUCUCACGAAUCUCCUUUUGUAAAUCUCCCUAGGAAUUGUGGCCCGGGAGAAUCCCAGAAAGCCUGUGCGUGCAUGGAAUGAACUUAAUGUAAGGGGCAGAUGGGCUGGGUCAGCUUCAUGGGCGUGCAAACAUGUGUACUUACAGAGGGUCCCACACUCAGAAGGGACCCCAUGUUUGGCUUAAUGCUCUGCCAUCACCAUCUUGAGAUAAUUAAUAAUUUUAUGUUUGAAAUUCUUUUGUGAGUGAAGUCUCUUGGGACAAUGGCGUGUGCACAUGAGCAGAAGAGACAUGCCCCCUAUGUGUGUGCUUCCUUGCCCCCACUUGCAAAUAGCGCACAUGAUGCCGGUGAACACAGCAUCCCAGUGGGCCUACUAUGCGCACGUGUUCAGUGAAACUAAGAGUGCAUAUAAGGUAAGUGGGUUAUGUUGAUGCCUGAGUAAGCAGGGUGCCGACAGCUCCAAGAAGCCAGGCUUUUUCUGUUCCAACCAGAACUUGCUUUGAAAGCAGAAAGAAGGAAAGGCAUUCUGAGAAAGACGUUAUUCAUGCUGCUUCCCUGUAUUAGCCAGUUGCAUACACCAAAGGAUGACCAGAAGGAAAGAAAGAUAGGGCGACUCCUGGUUGUCUUUCUUGCAGCUCUUCCUUACUGGUUAGUAUGCUGAAGGUAGGGAGUGUUGAUAGGACACAUACUGAGGAGUGAAACAGAAACAGUUGUGUUCGUUUUGCACAUUCCAUUGUUCUGGGAAGGCCAGAAUACAUAUGCAUUUAUAACUACAAAAUACAACCCGUGUAAUUUCAGUGAUUUGACAUGAGCCAAACGCCCUUAUGUUUGCAGUGAAAAUUGCACGAUCUAAAGAUGCAUGGUACCAUUCGUGCCAGUAAUUUAUAUUUUUAAUAUUUCUUUACUUCAAACGACAUUAGAUGGCAAAUAAAAGAACACCGGGAAGUCAAGAGACUAUGGAAGAAAGUAAGAUGCUAUAUGUUUCAGUGCCUUCGAUGUUCUUUUUCCCUAAGUUUUGAACAAAGGGCCUGGCGUGUGGGGCUGAGCAUGCAAAGAGCGGAUGCCAGCCCUCGCUGUGAGUGCACUGCCGGGUCCCCUCGGCUGGGCCACACUCUCCAGCCACCAGCUGCUGUGACACAGCUCCCCUCUCUUGAGAACUGCCCUUGGAUCGGAGUCACCUCACCUGGGAGCUUGCUGGCAUCUGCCCUGGGAGCCCACAACCAUGACAGGCUGAUGGACACAACAGGCCUGCCCUUGACCCUCAAUGGGGGACAAUUCUGUUGUGCCAUUUAUGCUUCCAACCUUCGCAGGGGAUCAGGCCAAGGCUACAUCUAUCCCAGACUUCAUCCUUGCCUCACUUUCCCCUCCCGAGCCUCCUUCCCUCCCUCCCCUACAGACUUCUCCUGAUGAGUGUUCCUUCCCCUCCGUAAGGCACAUGCACCCACGUCUCUGUUGCAAUGUCUGUUUCCAGGGAACCCAUACACAUUUAUACAAACCGAAACAAAGUUUUCACCAAGAAAAUAUGCCCUUGUUUUGUAUUCCUCUGUUGUACUAAGCUGGGCCCGGCCAAUUGAUUUCAUAACCUACUUACUAACAGGCAGGACCCGCAGUUUGAAGAUUACGGAUCUGUGUGACCCCAGAGAUGGAAACAAUGAACUAUGUCCAGAUGUUGGAGUAGGAAGAUAAAUCUGCAUUGGGUUGUAAGGGAUGAGUAGAAGUUUUACAAAUCAAGAAAUAAUACAGAGGUGGUCAUUUCAGACAAGAGUCAGGAGAGUAGUUUGUGGAUAUUUAGAGCUGUGUUUCUCAAAGAACGGUCAUGGACCACCUGUAUCAGAAUCACUUUGGGGUGCGUGGCAAACAUGCAGAUUUCUUGACCAGUCCCAGACUCUCUGAUUUGGAUCUUGAGGGUAAGAACCUGGAACCUGCUUUCUAAAUGAGCCCCCUAGUCAGUACUUCUGCACAGUAAAAUUUGAGGUUCGCUUAUCUGUUCCAUAGAGAGCCAGGAGAUGCGAGUAGUGACUCAUUCCCCACUCUUCUCUUUCAGAUGGACUCAGAAUGAGAAGCCCAGAGAGUCAGAGAAGGCUUCAUGGGCAUGUGGUGUGGGCACAGGAACAGGUAGACGAAAGAGCAAGGCCGCCAUGACUGGUGUGCAUGGACCUGGGGACGAGGAACACCAGCCAGGAAGCCUUCUCUGAUUCUCUCACCUAGAGGCAGGACAGACGACGGCCAUGGAGAAGUGGUUUACCUCGCUCUGCUCGUCAGCACGUACCCUCUGCUUCUGAUUUCUCUUCAGUAUUAUCGUGCCUUUGUCAACUAUGAAAUCACUCCCUUGUUGCUGGAAGUACACAUCACACGUAGGCAAAGCUGUUGCUGCUAUCUUAAAAAGAAAAGAAAUUACAGCGUCAGUAACCCACAGAAGUUCCAAUUGUACCACAGUGCAAGUGUUUUGGGUUAUCGGAUAACUUAAAAGGUGCCCUACUUGUUCGUCAAGAGCAUGUAGUCCUCGGGUCAGCGGAGGCCCGCUUCAGGAACUCGCUUAUUUUAGCGAUUCUCAGCCACACUCUCUGUCCAGCUGCCUGACCUCUGCGAUGAGGAACCUCAGACAGGCCACGCUGGAUUAUGUCCAUGCGUCCAACACAAAAUUAGAAACCAUUUUAUUGAUUUUAUGCAGAAAGCCUAUUAUGGAAUUAGCUUUAUACUACACUGUAUCAAAUUCCACACUAUGUUAAAUCCAAUCAAUGUUAAGUUUUGUGACCACAGGUAGUUUCUAUAAGAAAACAAACCAGUGCUUCCCAAGUUGCCUAUGAAUCACUGGGGGAUCCUGUUAACAUGUAGACUUGAUUCAGUAGGUCUGGGGCAGGACCUGAGACUCUAUAAGUCCAGUGAACUCAUAGGUGAUGCAGCCUUGCUGGUCCAUAGACCACAUCUGAGUAGCAAGGAUCUUGCCAUAGACCGAAUGUUUGUGUCCCUGCAAAAUCCACAUAGAGAAGGCUUAUCCCCACAGUGGUGGUGAUUAAAGGUGGGGCCUUUCCGGGGUGAUUGGGUCAUGAGCGCACACCCCAGGAAUGGGAUCAGUGCCCUCAUGAAAGAGCUCCUUUGCCCCUCUGCCGUGUUAGGACUCAGUGAGAAGAUGGCCAUCUACGAACCAGGAAGCAGGCUUUCUCCAGACAUGAAUCUGCUGGUGCCUUGAUCUUGGACUUCCCGGCUUCUAGGACUGUGAGAAAUAAAUUUGUUGUUUAUAUAACCACCUAGUCCGUGGUGCUUUUGUUACAGCAGCCUGAAAAAAUUAAGAUACACACAUACCCACACACAUCUUUUGAAGACCCGCCAAGAAAGUUAAUUGUCCUUUUUCUUCAUUCUCCGAUUUGAGUAUUCAAAGAGUUACUCCUAAGUCAUGGUCUUGGGUUCACAUCCUUUUUGUUCACAUCAUCUCCAUACCUUCUCCUCUCUCUGCUACCUCUUCACUUUUUCCUUAUUCCUUCCUGAUGCCUGCCAGGACUACAGCAGAAA